rnacentral:rRNA from 1 species
GCAUAUCAAUAAGCGGAGGAAAAGAAACCAACAGGGAUUGCCCUAGUAACGGCGAGUGAAGCGGCAACAGCUCAAAUUUGAAAUCUGGCUUUCGGGCCCGAGUUGUAAUUUGUAGAGGAUACUUUUGAUGCGGUGCCUUCCGAGUUCCCUGGAACGGGACGCCAUAGAGGGUGAGAGCCCCGUCUGGUUGGAUGCCAAAUCUCUGUAAAGUUCCUUCGACGAGUCGAGUAGUUUGGGAAUGCUGCUCUAAAUGGGAGGUAUAUGUCUUCUAAAGCUAAAUAUUGGCCAGAGACCGAUAGCGCACAAGUAGAGUGAUCGAAAGAUGAAAAGCACUUUGAAAAGAGAGUUAAAAAGUACGUGAAAUUGUUGAAAGGGAAGCGUUUAUGACCAGACUUGGACUUGGUUAAUCAUCUGGGGUUCUCCCCAGUGCACUUUUCCAGUUCAGGCCAGCAUCAGUUUUCGCCGGGGGAUAAAGGCAGCGGGAAUGUGGCUCUCUUCGGGGAGUGUUAUAGCCCGUUGUGUAAUACCCUGGUGGGGACUGAGGUUCGCGCUUCUGCAAGGAUGCUGGCGUAAUGGUCAUCAACGACCCGUCUUGAAACACGGACCAAGGAGUCGUCUUCGUAUGCGAGUGUUCGGGUGUCAAACCCCUACGCGUAAUGAAAGUGAACGCAGGUGAGAGCUUCGGCGCAUCAUCGACCGAUCCUGAUGUUCUCGGAUGGAUUUGAGUAAGAGCAUACGGGGCCGGACCCGAAAGAAGGUGAACUAUGCCUGUAUAGGGUGAAGCCAGAGGAAACUCUGGUGGAGGCUCGCAGCGGUUCUGACGUGCAAAUCGAUCGUCAAAUAUGGGCAUGGGGGGCGAAAGACUAAUCGAACCUUCUAGUAUCUGGGUUCCG